rnacentral:rRNA from 1 species
UUGAACGCUGGCGGCAUGCCUAACACAUGCAAGUCGAACGCGAAAGCGGGGCAACCCGCAAGUAGAGUGGCGGACGGGUGAGUAAUGCAUCGGAAUCUACCCAGUUGUGGGGGAAAACCCGGCGAAAGCCGAGCUAAUACCGCAUACGACCUACGGGUGAAAGUGGGGGACCGCAAGGCCUCACGCUAUUGGAUGAGCCGAUGUCCGAUUAGCUAGUUGGUAGGGUAAUGGCCUACCAAGGCGACGAUCGGUAGCUGGUUUGAGAGAACGACCAGCCACACUGGGACUGAGACACGGCCCAGACUCCUACGGGAGGCAGCAGUGGGGAAUAUUGGACAAUGGGGGCAACCCUGAUCCAGCAAUGCCGCGUGUGUGAAGAAGGCCUUCGGGUUGUAAAGCACUUUCGGUGGGGACGAACAUGGUCGGGUGAAUAUCCCGGCCCUUGACGGUACCCAAAGAAGAAGCACCGGCUAACUCUGU